CAUACUAAAAAAUCAAAUUAUAAUUAUGAACGAGUAAUGAUAUGGAAGUGGAAAUGUAAAUAAUAGAAUGUAAGGUGAAAUUUAAUUGUAGGGUAAAGCUUAAGUAUUUUGAAAAAUAGAAAUUACGAGAUCUGUGCAGGAGACUGGGAUUAGAUACCCCAUUAUAGCAGAUGUAAAUAAUGUCGUUAGGGUACUACGAACGAUGUUUAAAACCCAAAGGACUUGGCGGUGCCUUAUACUAUCUAGGGGAACUUGCUUCAUAAUCGAUAAUCCACGUUGGACCUUGCCUUUUAUUGUAAGCAGUAUGUAUACCGUUGUCGUCAGGUAACUCUUAAGGAGGGAGGAGUUGGCGGAUAUUAUUAUUAAAUUAUGAUGUCAAAUCAAGGUGCAGCUGAUGAAAUGGGGAGAGUGAGUUACAUUGAUAUAAUUUUAUUGGAUUUGUUAUUGAAAUAUAAUAUUUAAAGUGGACUUAGUAGUAAGAUUAAAUAUAUAAAUUGUCUGAAAUUAGCUCUGGGGCGUGU
rnacentral:rRNA from 1 species